rnacentral:sRNA from 1 species
GCUGGGUGUGGUGGCUCACGCCUGUAAUCCCAACACUUUGGGAGGCCGAGGCAGGCGGAUCACCGGAGGUCAGGAGUUCAAGACCAGCCUGGCCAACAUGGUGAAACCCUGUCUCUA